rnacentral:rRNA from 1 species
CAGUAGCCGCGGUAAUACGUAGGUGGCAAGCGUUGUCCGGAAUUAUUGGGCGUAAAGGGCUCGCAGGCGGUUUCUUGAGUCUGAUGUGAAAGCCCCCGGCUCAACCGGGGAGGGUCCUUGGAAACUGGGAAACUUGAGUGCAGAAGAGGAGAGUGGAAUUCCACGCGUAGCGGUGAAAUGCGUAGAGAUGUGGAGGAACACCAGUGGCGAAGGCGACUCUCUGGUCUGUAACUGACGCUGAGGAGCGAAAGCGUGGGGAGCGAACAGGAUUAGAGACCCCUGUAGUCCCUGUCUCUUAUAC